UCUUUGCUAGUAUAUCGGUUAGUACACGCGCCUGUCAUUUCCUUUAUGUCUGGAGUAUGGAUGUCAACGCGCGAAAGCUGGGUUCGACUCCCAGGCAAAGAG